AGAUUAAGUUAUUAAGGGCGCACGGUGGAUGCCUUGGCACUAGAAGCCGAUGAAGGACGUUACUAACGACGAUAUGCUUUGGGGAGCUGUAAGUAAGCUUUGAUCCAGAGAUUUCCGAAUGGGGAAACCCAGCACGAGUUAUGUCGUGUUAUCUGCAUGUGAAUACAUAGCAUGCAAGAAGGCAGACCCGGAGAACUGAAACAUCUUAGUACCCGGAGGAAGAGAAAGAAAAAUCGAUUCCCUGAGUAGCGGCGAGCGAAACGGGAAGAGCCCAAACCAAUAAGCUUGCUUAUUGGGGUUGUAGGACACUCUGUACGGAGUUACAAAAGAAUUUGUUAGACGAAUAACCUGGAAAGGUUAAUCAUAGAAGGUAAUAAUCCUGUAGUCGAAAACGAAUUCUCUCUUGAGUGGAUCCUGAGUACGACGGAGCACGUGAAAUUCCGUCGGAAUCUGGGAGGACCAUCUCCUAAGGCUAAAUACUCUCUAGUGACCGAUAGUGAACCAGUACCGUGAGGGAAAGGUGAAAAGUACCCCGGAAGGGGAGUGAAAGAGAACUUGAAACCGUGUGCUUACAAGUAGUCAGAGCCCGUUAAUGGGUGAUGGCGUGCCUUUUGUAGAAUGAACCGGCGAGUUACGAUCUGAUGCAAGGUUAAGCAGAAAAUGUGGAGCCGUAGCGAAAGCGAGUCUGAAUAGGGCGAAUGAGUAUUUGGUCGUAGACCCGAAACCAGGUGAUCUACCCUUGGUCAGGUUGAAGUUCAGGUAACACUGAAUGGAGGACCGAACCGACUUACGUUGAAAAGUGAGCGGAUGAACUGAGGGUAGCGGAGAAAUUCCAAUCGAACUUGGAGAUAGCUGGUUCUCUCCGAAAUAGCUUUAGGGCUAGCCUCAAGUGAUGAUUAUUGGAGGUAGAGCACUGUUUGGACGAGGGGCCCCUCUCGGGUUACCGAAUUCAGACAAACUCCGAAUGCCAAAUAAUUUAACUUGGGAGUCAGAAUGUGGGUGAUAAGGUCCAUAUUCGAAAGGGAAACAGCCCAGACCACCAGCUAAGGUCCCAAAAUAUAUGUUAAGUGGAAAAGGAUGUGGCGUUGCCCAGACAACUAGGAUGUUGGCUUAGAAGCAGCCAUCAUUUAAAGAGUGCGUAAUAGCUCACUAGUCAGUGACACUGCGCCGAAAAUGUACCGGGGCUAAACAUAUUACCGAAGCUGUGGAUUGUCCUUUGGACAAUGGUAGGAGACGUUCUAAGGGCGUUGAAGCAUGAUCGCAAGGACAUGUGAGCGCUUAGAAGUGAGAAUGCCGGUGUGAGUAGCGAAAGACGGGUGAGAAUCCCGUCCACCGAUUGACUAAGGUUUCCAGAGAAGGCUCGUCCGCUCUGGGUUAGUCGGGUCCUAAGCUGAGGGCCGACAGGCGUAGGCGAUGGAUAACAGGUUGAUAUUCCUGUACCACCAUUAUUCGUUUUAAGCGAUGGGGGACGCAGUAGGAUGGCGAAGCGUGCUGUUGGAGUGCACGUCCAAGCAGUGAGAUUGAGUGUUGAGCAAAUCCGGCACUCUUAAGAUUGAGCUGUGAUGGGGAGGAACUUGUUCCUCGAGUCGUUGAUACUAUAACGGUCCCUAAGGUAGCGAAAUUCCUUGUCGGGUAAGUUCCGACCCGCACGAAAGGCGUAACGAUUUGGGCACUGUCUCAACGAGAGACUCGGUGAAAUCAUAGUACCGGUGAAGAUGCCGGUUACCCGCGACAGGACGGAAAGACCCCGUGGAGCUUUACUGUAGCCUGAUAUUGAAAUUCGGUACAGUUUGUACAGGAUAGGUAGGAGCCUUAGAAGCGUGAGCGCUAGCUUACGUGGAGGCAUUGGUGGGAUACUACCCUAAUUGUAUUGGAUUUCUAACCCGCAGCACUUAUCGUGCUGGGAGACAGUGUCAGGCGGGCAGUUUGACUGGGGCGGUCGCCUCCUAAAGAGUAACGGAGGCGCUCAAAGGUUCCCUCAGAAUGGUUGGAAAUCAUUCAUAGAGUGUAAAGGCAUAAGGGAGCUUGACUGCGAGACCUACAAGUCGAGCAGGGUCGAAAGACGGACUUAGUGAUCCGGUGGUUCCGCAUGGAAGGGCCAUCGCUCAACGGAUAAAAGCUACCCCGGGGAUAACAGGCUUAUCUCCCCCAAGAGUUCACAUCGACGGGGAGGUUUGGCACCUCGAUGUCGGCUCAUCGCAUCCUGGGGCUGUAGUCGGUCCCAAGGGUUGGGCUGUUCGCCCAUUAAAGCGGUACGCGAGCUGGGUUCAGAACGUCGUGAGACAGUUCGGUCCCUAUCCGUCGUGGGCGUAGGAAAUUUGAGAGGAGCUGUCCUUAGUACGAGAGGACCGGGAUGGACAUACCUCUGGUGUACCAGUUGUCGUGCCAACGGCAUAGCUGGGUAGCUAUGUAUGGACGGGAUAAGUGCUGAAAGCAUCUAAGCAUGAAGCCCCCCUCGAGAUGAGAUUUCCCAACUUCGGUUAUAAGAUCCCUCAAAGAUGAUGAGGUGAAUAGGUUCGAGGUGGAAGCGUAGCGAUACGUGGAGCUGACGAAUACUAAUCGAUCGAAGACUUAAUCAAUAU
rnacentral:rRNA from 1 species